UCGGGGGACAAAGUGACAGGUGGUGCAUGGUUGUCGUCAGCUCGUGUCGUGAGAUGUUGGGUUAGGUCCCGCAACGAGCGCAACCCUUAAGCUUAGUUGCCAGCAUUAAGUUGGGCACUCUAAGUUGACUGCCGGUGACAAACCGGAGGAAGGUGGGGAUGACGUCAAAUCAUCAUGCCCCUUAUGAUUUGGGCUACACACGUGCUACAAUGGACAAUACAAAGGGCAGCUAAACCGUGAGGUCAUGCAAAUCCCAUAAAGUUGUUCUCAGUUCGGAUUGUAGUCUGCAACUCGACUACAUGAAGCUGGAAUCGCUAGUAAUCGUAGAUCAGCAUGCUACGGUGAAUACGUUCCCGGGUCUUGUACACACCGCCCGUCACACCACGAGAGUCUGUAACACCCGAAGCCGGUGGAGUAACCAUUUAUGGAGCUAGCCGUCGAAGGUGGGACAAAUGAUUGGGGUGAAGUCGUAACAAGGUAGCCGUAUCGGAAGGUGCGGCUGGAUCACCUC
rnacentral:rRNA from 1 species